UUUCAACUGCAUUGUAAUGUUUAAUUUCUUAGGCUAGGUGGUAGGUCAAGUAUAUUUAUUGGCUUAUUCUUUGUCCCUUUGUAAAUCUUACAUGUUAUGUAAUUUUAAACAAAUUCCACGUGCUGGAAUUUAUUCAGUAUUCUAAAUCAGUGAUUCUCAGAGUGUGGUCCCCAGAGCAGUAGUAUCAACAUGACCAGAGAACUUGUUAGAAAUUCAAAGUUGGCCAGCACUCCAGACCUCUGGACUCAAACUCUGGGAUGAGGGCCAGCAAUCUGUGUUUUAACAAACCUCACAGGUGACUCUGGGGCAGCUAAAGUUUCUAAACUAUUGUAGGGAAAACUAAAGCACAUUUGGAUGCAGUUCUAAAAAUAAGAAAUUAUACUGUUGAGACUCCCAACUAUUCUUUUUUCUCUUUUGCCUUCUAUUUCUUUGUACCUGCAGUAUUUUAUAUGUCUGGACCAAAUUUCAAAUCUUCUUAAUUAUUUAAUACAGCUUAAAGUUCUAUGUAACUUCAUCACCUAGUGUCUUCAAUUGAAAGUUAAACUAAUCUAAUUUCUUUUAACUUGUAAUAUCCAAUAUUCAUGUUUUAUAAUUCAAUUGCUAAAUUAUUAUCCCAGGUUUUGUGUGUUUAUUCUUUUUUAUGAAGAAUGGAAAUCCCUCCAAUGGUGUUUGCUAAACUUUCAGCACAAUUUCUUGAAAUCUUGGUGCUAGAGAAACCAGUAGCAGAAAAGUCCUGGGCUUUUCUCUUGCUGCCAGCUCCCAACGGGAAGCCUGGGAAACACAGUCUCUUGAAAAACCCGUCAUUUCCUUAUGGUAAACACCCAGCUCAUAUUCCAAAGAACCUUUAAUGGCGAUGAUUGGGUACAACCUGCUGAGAUAAGUGCCUGGAAAUUUGCAUGUACAUUCAAAGUCAGCAAUUUAAAAAAAUUUCCCCACUAUUUUGCAAAAUAAUUUCACAGAUAACUUAUCUUUAUAUCUGACUAAUCUCCAUUUUGGCUGUACAAGGCGAGCCUCAUGUAAGCUCUGAUUGACGCAGUUGAGAUCUGGCUGUAACACCAUAUCCACUUUUUGUUCUUUUAAACCCCCCGUCUGGGCCCGCCUGUAUGUCGGUGGUGGGACUCCCCCAGCCUCCCCUUCACUGGGGCUGUGGCCCUUUCUCCAGAUUCUUGGCUGUGCAGGUGUCCUCACCGGGCUGCAGGGGUCUGGAUGGUCACCCUCCCUUCCUCCUCUCCGCACAUACAAACAUUGAGCUGUAGGGUCCCCAUUCCCUCGGGGUGCAGAUUUGCCGACGAGGGCAUUAAUGGAUUGAAAUAGAAUUAAUCAGUUCUCACGGUACUCAGUCUGUGGUUUUCAUAUUUCUUUUAAGAAAAUCUUUCAUUGAGAAAAAAGUAAAGCAACUAGUUCAAGAUUCAACGAAUCCUGUUGAAGCUGGGUUAAUUUUGGAGCUCAGCCAGUUGGUCUUUUCCGGAAGUGAUUCUCUGCCCAACACUGGAAGCACCUGAGUGUUGAAAACCACAUCCCCAGAGAUUCUGGUUUAAUUGGCCUGGGACCAGGCUUUGGGAGGUCUAAAAGCUCCCAGGUGUUGUUAAUAUUGUCCUCCACCUCUAGAACGCAGUGGAAUCACCUGUAUGGCUUUGUUAAACUAUGAUUACUGGGCCCCACCCAGAGUUUCUGGUUCACUAGCUCUGGGAUGGGGCCUGAUAAUUUCCAUUGCUAACAAGUUCCCAGGGAUGCUGAUGCUGCUGGUCCAGGGGCCACAUUCUGAGAACCACUGCUCUAGUGAAAACUUGAAACCCACUGUGCAAGAGAACCCCCAGACUGAAGAAGCUCCAGGCUCCACAAAGCCUGUAUUUGCCCUUGAUUCCGGCCAUUCCAAGCAGAAAUCCGACUCCCUGGCCUGCUCAUUCGACUUGUGAUCAGAAGCCCAGCACAUGAACUGGCACUGCUGCUGGGAACUGUGAGUCACUCCUUCCAGGUUGCUCCUGGUGUCGGAGCGAGUCUCUGCAGGGGAAGACGAGCAAUCUGCCUGUCAGGUAAUUUAUUCUAAUAACAUCGCAAGUUGCUUCCCAGGAGAGAGUUUAUCCUUUGAUAGAUGUCUUUAUAAUUCCUUAAUGCCACUGGUCUAAAAGUUAUUCAACAGAGGUCCUUCCUCAACCAGCCACGACCACAGGAGGGAGGCCUAGCAGCUAAUGACAAGAUCGAAAGGUUCGAUGGUUUGCCUGGAAGUGAAGAGAGAUUUUCGGUGCUGUGACAACUUGCAGAAAAGCCUGAGCAAGAUGAAGAAACACAUGAUGAGAAGUCAGAGGGAACAGUGUUCACGGAAGAGAUUGAGAGUCAGAGCUCAGGAGGGACUUUCCUUGUUUGCUGUGCAUCACUGGUCUGGUUCUUCAGAAACUUUAAGCAAGAACAGGACCAGUUGCUGGGUGAUGUGGACAAAAGAACAAAAACUAUGACUGUUUAAUAGAUUUUCCAUUAAUUCUUUUUAUUGAUUAUGAACUUGUAAACAAGUAAUACAUUAACGCAUAUUCCUUAUUAAAAAUUUUAACGUCCCAUUUGAAUAAGGGUGAAAUCCCCCUUUCUCAAUGAUUCUCUAUCAAUGGUAUCUUUAUCAGAUGGCCGGGAGUCUGGGGAUAGUUUGGUUCCUAGACUGGCUAAACCGUGUCAUGAAGGACGCAAGUUCUUUCCAUCUCUCCAUGCUCCCAUUCUCAGUGUGGUGGCUUAGUCCUCAAGCUUUAUCCUUUGUUUUGCAAGAUGGCUGAUGGAGGUCGUGACAUCAUAUGAAGACCUGAGAAGAGGAUCAUUUCCUUCCACUUACCACCUUUUCUUAGUGAAAAAUACCUUUCUUCAAAGUACCCAGCAGAAUUAGCCCCAUUGGCCACAAUUGUCUCUCAUGCCCAGGCAUAAGACACCCCAUCAUGCAAUUGGUAUGAGACCACCAUGAUUGGCAUGGGCUAAUCAACAUUUAUUUUCUGGGACUGGAGAGGGGUCUAUCCUCCCUUAGAUACUGUGUUCAAGGGUCAAGAAAUCUGGGGUUUGGUUAGCAAGAAAAAAGCGGUAUAAGGCAAAAAAAUAUGCAUGGCACAUUUUGUUUUCAGAGAAAUUAUACUCAAUAAAAAUUCAGUAUAAAAUAAAUAAAAUAUCUUUACCACUCACAAGUUAGGUCUGAUGCUUUGUAUCUGAACUAAAAUCCACUCAUCUUUUUAUUCUUUCAACAAAUAUUCUUUGGCCGCUUACUACGUGUCAGCCACUGGUCUUGGUACUAAGGCUGGAGAGAUGAACAGGACACACACUGAUCUCCGCUAGCAAUGCUUUCAGCAGCAAGUACCAUAAUAGGCACUUAAACGUGGCUUAAACCGCAGGGACAAGUAAUGUUUAUCUAACAGAAAUUUAGGACGGGCAGUCCAUAGUCCAGUCCCUCUAAAAUGUUACCAAGGGCAUGGUUUCAUUCUUCUCUGUGUUCUUAGCAUGCUGGCUUUUGUCUUUAUUUGUGUUGCCUCAUUGUCCCAUGGUUGCCAUAGCUCCCAACAUCUCAUCUGCUUUCAAAUCACAAAGAAGUGGCAAAGGAAUCUCUUCUUAUUCUCGUCCCUUUUAGAAACAUUCAAAAACUCUCAGAAGCCUCCUAGCAGAUUCCCAGAAAAAUCUCGUUGGCAGGAAUGUGCUAUGCUGGUGUCCUCAACAGCAAAGGAGUCUGGGAAAAUGAUUAUCUCACCAAGUAUUAUGAGCUGUACACAUUGCUGCCCCCAAUAAAAUUGAGAUUCUGUUUAUAAGGGGAGGCGAGGAGGAUGGUUCGUCAAUUGCAAUGUCUUCCAUAGUCCCCUUCUUCAUGGAAUUAAUUCUCUGACCACAUCAUGGAGAGGUAGAAAUACAUCAGGAGUAUUUUUUAUACUCUAGUCUUUGAAAUAUGUCUGAGGAACUUGUGUAGUAAAUGGUCCUUAGUGUUUGUUUUGCACAUUCAGAUAGAAAAGCUGUUUGCUCAUAGAAGCUUGACAUGAAUUGGGAUUGGGAUCUGUAGGGCUUCAUUUGGGUUCAUCCUGGGCAUGUAAGAUGUUGUGGAGAGGGAGAGAAACGUAGACCCAGACACUUGUGUUAAGUAUUAGCUGAUAGCUGCUCCUGGGGUAAAAAGUGCCAUUGGCAGAGCAUCCACUGAUUUCCUUACUCUGGCACCAGCCGCAUCUUAUUGCCGUCUCAGCUUAUUUGUCUAGCUGCUCCACUAAACAACUAGCUUCUUGAGGGAAGAGGCUAUGUUUUACUUAUUUCUGUGUGCCUAACCCUGAGGAUGGUGUCUGGCACAUAGUAGGGACUCAGUGAAGGUUGGAGUUUGGAAAUUAUCUUUCAGGGGGGAAAAUGUGGGAAGGAAAGUUCAAAUAUUCAUAUUAAAGAAUUAAAACUAGAAGUGUUUAAAAAACUAACUUAAAAAAUAAAAGUAGUCAAAUGAUAGAAAUGGAUUAGGUAGCACCUAGACCUCAGGAGGAGUAAUCUGUCUCUUCUUUUAUUUUUCAAUUUUUUUCCAUCUCUCUGGGAGGUUGAGGUCAUGUGGUGUUUGUUCAAAUUGUUUGGGUCUACAUGGCACAGAAGUGGGACUAAAGUGCAGAUGAGGUGGAACUCAGAAACAGCCUGUCAAAGCAAGCAUGAUUUAAAGCCGUUGCCACGUACAUUGUAUCGUUUUUAUAGCAUGGGAAGCAGUAAGGGCGACUUUACUGCAGUCACAGCUACCUUUACUACCAUAGAUAAGUGAAUUCAAGCAGGCCUCCUAGAAGUUCAAGGGUGUGUAGUUGUUUCUUUCUUUCUUUCUUCAGAAAAUUCAACAAUCAAAUCUCUCCAAUAUUAGUUUUUAACAUUUGCUUUGUUAGAUUGUUGUCGCCUUACAAAUUUAUGUUUCGUUAGUGAUAUUGCUUCAUUAUAAUUCCCACAUACGCAUGUUUUGGAAAGUCGGUGAAAGGCUUUGCAUUCUCCCUGCCUACAAGGCACGGGUCAGUGUGAGAGGGAGGGGAGCCCUGCGCUGAGCUGGACCCUGUCCCAGGGCCGCCACGGAUCCUGGACCUUGGCCAAGUAGUUAACUAUCUGCUGCUGGAUUUCUACUUCUGUAAAAUAGAGGUGUGUGAGAAGAUCAUCGCUUACGAUUUCUUCUAGCUCUAAAUUUCAUGAUCGUAACGUAUUAAGUGCCUGUGUUUCUAGGAACUGAAGAGGGUUAAGGGUUAAUAUUUACUCUACGAGUUAGGUGUAUCACCUCAUCCUUUGCAAUAAAACUUUUAUCUUACAGACUAUUAGAUUGUACGUUUGAGAAACGGUGGCAGUGAUAUAACAUAAUAAAAAACUGAAAGGUACAAUUAAAAUUUGAUAUGUUUAUUUUAGUUUUUUUUAACAUCUUUUUUUUUUUUUUUUUUACUGGGAGAGAUUUGCCCUGAGCUAACCUCUGGCGCCAAGCUUCCUCUCCUUCUCUCUUUUUUCACCCCUCCCCAAAUCGCAGUACGUAUUGUAUAUUCUGGUUGUAAGUCCUAGUUCUUCUAUGUGAGCCGCUGCUACACCAUGGCUAGUGACAGACGAGUGGUGUGGUUUGGCACCCAGGAGUUGAACCUGCACUGCCAAAGCGGAGCACACCAAGCUUUAACCACUAUGCCAUCAGGGCUGGCUCUGGUAUAUUUAUUUUAAUGUCUAUUUCUACAAAUAUCCAACAUGCAUGUGCAUAAUUAGAAUCAUACGGCAUACAGAAUUGUGUAUCUUCCUUUUUUCCACUGAAUUUUCUUAUGAGCAUUUUCCCAUCCCAUUAAAAAAUCUUUAAAAAAACAAUAUUUUGCUGUCUUAAAGAAUUUUAUAUUGUUAAAUGUAACACAAAUACAGGAAAGUGCCUAAAUGAACUAUUAUAAAGUAGACACUUGCAGCCACAACCUGUCUCAGCCACCCCAGAAAUGCUUUUCUCUUGCCCUGCUGAAAUUUAUUGCCCUGAUGACUUUUAUGGUAAUCAUUUCCUUAUUUCUAUUUACAUUUUUACCACUCAGUGUGCAUCCCUAAACAUUAUCGUUUAGUGUUGCCUGAAAGUAUAAUUUUUAAUGGAUGUUUAUUAUUCCAUCUUAUGAAGAUAAAUUAACACAUGCACGCACAGCUUAUUGGAUUAUUUACUUUCCUUCUUGCUAGCUUAUUGUUUUAUUUUUUGAAGAGAUAUCUGUUCACAUAAUGCAGCAUCUUAAAGCUUCAAAGGGGCUGCAGUGAAAGGUCUCUCUCCCGCCUCUGUCCUCCAGCCACCUGGCUGUCUCGAGGACCACUUGCUACGAAGUUGUUUUUGAGGAAAAAGGAGCCUAAGAAUGGGAUUGAUGUUUUUUCAGGUUUAACAUCCUAAAUGAAUCUAAGUAGGCACAAAAAAUACAAUAGAAGUCUUAUUAAAGCAUGCAAAAUCCCUGCUGAUUUUUCUUUUAUGUGAAGUUGGCAUAAUAUCUGGAGUGUUUCACUCUUAGCUUAGUUCAAUGCAUAACAUUGAACAGUUGUGUGAAUUGGAUGUGAAAUAACCACAGAAGGAAGUCUAGGAUCAAGCUAGAUUCAAAUAGAGUUGAGACAUUUUACUUUGCUUUACUGUAAAGCUGAGAGACCCAAGUUACUUUCUUUGUCUCUUGGGCACAAUGGAAACUAAAACAGUUUCUCAUGUUUUUCUCUAGUAGAUCAGUAAAUAAUGCCAUGAUGAUAACAUGUUAUGCAAAAACACAUAAUUCAGUUUGCAUGAAUGGAGGAAGUAAUUAUCUAACUUGUCUGACUAGUACACCAUUUUUAUGCAUCAGAGUUCUUUGGUCACAAGAAACAAAAGCAGGCUCUGCUUAACUUGAAUAAAAGGAAUUUGCUGGAGGGAUUCAAGUAUUCAUUGUUUGGCAGAAAAGCUGGAGAACCAGGCUUUGAAAUGGACAGAGCUAACACAACUUAGGAGGUCCAGGAAUUGGGGAAUGACAAGAAUGGUCUCAUAUCAAAAUUGGCUUUGGGUAUUUUAUUAAAUUCUAGUAGAAACGGUGCCGGAUCAGGGAACAUCAGGUGACUACACAACUAGAACUGCCCAGCAGGGUAUUAUCCGAUGCAAUGAGGGAUACGUUUGGGCGGGUGCAUCAGCAGACUUACGAUGAAAAUAAAGCAUUGAGAUCCAGCCUGAACAAAUCCAGAAGGCAUGAAUAAACUACAUGUAUCUCAAAACUCUCAUGUCAGCUGUCGGUGUUGCACCAAUGGCCCUCCCUCCAGUCACAUCUAGAGCCUCAUCGGGGCUGGGAGAGAGAAAGUGGGUGGUCCCCUAUGAUCAAGUGAUGGAAGAAGAGACAACUUAGGCCCAGUUUACACAUGAAUUCUCACAAUACCUUAAUGCUAGUGGAAAAUGGAUUGCCACCACAUUACAGCCCCACUCAAGGAUGAAAGGACAGUCUUGAAAGGAAAUUCUCACUGUAGGCAGUGUUAUGAGUAGUACCAAGGGUCAUUGACAUAGCACCGAGAGAAAAAAAAGUGUUCUGAAGUACGGAUACAUAGGGACUCUGGGGCAGGCGGGAAUGACUUGGCUGCUUUGUCUGAGGCCUGAUACAGGCAAAACGGGAAGACUGUCUUGGUAAGGCGUCCUUGUGUUGCUCUCCCACCUCCCUUUCCUCACUACUCUUCUGGUCCCUCACUCCUGUUUCCUUAGAGUUGCAGGGAUACCAACAAGAUAAUGUGACACAAACUGUUGCCUAAGUUUUGGGGAGAAACCUCCUCUCUGAAGAGUUCAGUGAAAUAUUUGUGAGCAAUUCAACUCCCAGACCAAAUUAUGAAUGUUCUGUCCAAGCAACGAUAUAUGUCUAGUGAUGGCUUAAACUAUUCUUAGGACUGUUUCCAUUAUUUGAGACAGGAAAUGAAGAGACACUUGUCCAAAUAAUUUCUGAUAGUUUGCAAGGAAUACUCCUUCUCUGAAAAUAUCUCUAACUUAACCAUUUAUAAAAUAACUGGGCUCGUAAUCAGAGAUAGAAAGCUGUGUAUGAGCAGGCUGGUGAGAAAAUUGUCUCAUCAACAAAACAAGAAGCUACCUCAUUCUCCUUACCCUGGGAAAAAACAAUAUGUAAUCGAAAUUUUUAUUUUUUUCUUAAAACUACUCAACAGAUUGAAUUUGACCAUUUCUCAGUACUGUCAAUUCCAUCAAAAACCUAAGCAAAGAAUGUAAGUACCUUCUAAAGUAUUUCUUCCACUCUGCUCUCUGAUGAGUCUAAAGUUGUUCAGCAAAUGGUAACUGUUCUCUUUAGUUUAGCUUUUGGGACAUUUCCUUUCUGAGAACUUCCAAGACACUCUGUGUCCCAUUAAAAGUAAACAAUGGCAGAAUUUCCUCACUAAAGAGGAUAGGGUAAAGCACGGUAACAUCAUUCAUUGGCCUCUCUUUGUGAUGCUUGGUAGAGAGGGAGUGGGGAGAUAUUGAUAAGGUGGACUAAGCAAGUUACCAGCAGGAACAAGGAAGCAACAGGGAGAGUCAAAAUGUGGGAUGAGGUGGGCAUUCUGGAUAAUAUAGGACAACAGAGAAGAGAAGGAAGGCCAUGUCUGUGGGGAUGACUGGCCAGUUGGUGGUGUGGAAGAGAAAUGAAGCACAGCUGAUCUUAUCAUGUUAGGUGACAUUAUUCAUAGCUUUCACUAUGGCUCAACAGAAUGUGUGAUAAGCCACUUUCUCAUCAAAUCAGCUGAUUAUGUUGCCACUCAGCGAUGGGGAGAAAACUCCGUUAAUGGACUGACUAUGUCGUGGACCCCUUAGAGCUUUCCAUCACUCUGAACUCCAGCUUGGAUAAAAUCCACUUAGACCUUUUUGUAUUUCAGUGACUGAGGUUAUCAAGCAAAUGGUAGGGAGCUCCCUGGCUUUUCAGAAUAGCUGUAAAAAAUUAUUUUCAUUUAACCAUGAGUUGAAAAUGGAUAAGGUAACUUACAAAAAAUGGUUAAGGAUGGUGUGUUGGGCACCUGUAAUGUGUGGCUGUUUAGCAUUCAUUUCCCCUUCUUAACAACACACAUUUCUUUUAGAGGAAUUAUAAUUGUAUUAUUAUUAUUGUUGUUGUUGUUAUUAUUGUUAUUGUUAUUAUCAUUAUUAUUAUUUUGAGUUCAGCCUAGUGGACUUGUGCUUCAGGGCCCCUACACUUUCUUAACCGAAGUUUCAGUAUAUGAUUAAAACUAGGUCAAUCAGAAACUUAUUCCCUGGAAUUUUAAUCUUAGGUAGAAGAUUAAAGACAAAGAAAAUGGUAGGAAUUCCUCUAAUCCAGGGGUGAGGUCAUGGAUUUUUGCUACCAUGACACUUUCUGUUGUUCCUCGAUCCUGGACCACUGGGGAUACCUUGGCUCUGUACCUUCUGAGUCUGGUUCUCCAGCCAUACUGCAGAUAAUGAGGUCUGAUAUCUUUCAGUAAGUUUCCUUUGCAUAAAUUAACUAGAGCCUAUUACUGUUGUUUGCAUCUAUAGAACCCUGACUCAUUCUUAAGGUGUACCUCACCAAUUAGGAAGGUUAAAGGAGAGUUGACUUUAUUGCUAGAAGUGGUAGCCAGAAAAACUGUUUAAUCAUUUGAACAACAAAUUUUUAAAAACCUGCAGAAAAUAUUUAUUAAUGAUAAAUACAAUUUUUUAGAGAAAAAACAGACUGGAAAAAAAUAAGUAAUAUUGAAAAAAUCAGGAAAUGUAUUUUUGAUAAUUAUCUCAUGGCAAAAGUAUGACAUAGAUGACAAUAGGUUUAAAAAAAUCUGAUGACUGAUUGAUUAAUUCAUUGAUUACCACUGAGAGCUUAGAGCAUUGUCUUAUUCUAGCAUUAAUACUCGUUCCUCAUUAUUUAAAUCCCACAGAAAUUUUCUGACUAGGUCUGUAUUAUUAAGUACAGAGGUGUAAAAUCUCUGGGCUAUUGGGGCCGGCCUGGUGGUCUAGUGGUUGGGUUCACAAGCUCCACUUUGGUGGCCCUGGGUUUGUG